GCCCGCGUAGCUCAGAGGAUAGAGCGCCUGCGUCCGAAGCAGGAAGUCCCGAGUUCAAUUCUCGGCGUGGGCA
rnacentral:tRNA from 6 species